rnacentral:rRNA from 1 species
GACGUAGGGCGCAAGCGUUGUCCGGAUUUAUUGGGCGUAAAGAGCUCGUAGGCGGUUCGACAAGUCGGGUGUGAAAACUCCGGGCUCAACCCGGAGACGCCACCCGAUACUGUCGUGACUGGAGUCCGGUAGGGGAGUGGGGAAUUCCUGGUGUAGCGGUGAAAUGCGCAGAUAUCAGGAGGAACACCGGUGGCGAAGGCGCCACUCUGGGCCGGUACUGACGCUGAGGAGCGAAAGCGUGGGGAGCAAACAGG